rnacentral:lncRNA from 1 species
UUUAUUGCAAUAUUCAGGCAGCUUUAAAAUAGUAAUCCAGUUCUGGACAAAAAUACAGUAGAAGCAUUUUGCAUAGGUAGUUUGAAAAUAGGACAGAAAUUUAUGAACAAUUAGAAAACAGCUUUAGAGACAAACAAGUUCGGAUAGAGGCGGAUUAAUUAGAACGCGACUUGAAGGUGAUUAGUCAGUUUUUUUUCGGCCUAAGGCUUUCCUAGGCAUUAUUAAAUACAGUCAACAAGCACAUUUUU